CCCCACCACUUUACUAAACGUAUCUGCGACAUGGGGUAUCAUUCUUCUAUCGAAAAUCGUCGUGUUUGGACGUGUAACCUUGCUCGAUGCGCUUCGCUGUGCCUAUUACCGUGUGUUACGUACUUUCAUUGCUCUUUCAUUGUUGGCUGACGCGUGGAUAACAUCAAAAGAACAACAAUACCGUUUGAUGUCACGGGCGAUCGACAACCGAUACGACGUUCUGCUAUUUCGUUCUCCUUUUUAUUCGUAAAGAUAUUCCUUUUAGGGAGGUAGAGCACGAUAAAAGAGAAAAUUGCAAGUGUCCCAAUACUUUUACCCGACGAUAUACCCGGUCUGUGGUUAUGUCAUACAACAAUGGUUUCUACUCCGCAAGUGUAACGUCCGGUUUCGUUUUCACGCUUCUUACGUUACGUCGAAACGCGAUACCCAGCGACGUCGCCAGGUUCGGUCCGCGACAUUCACGCUCAGCGAAGCCAUAUUCGGUUCUCCAUCGAAGAAAAUUGCAAAACGAUUCGCAAGUACUUGCGGCCCGCUGCUAAACACGGCACCAACGACCAUAGUGCUUUUCGUCGUUCGCCAAUAUCCCUAGAUACUUCUAUAUACGAGAUGGUUAAAUGGUAGCAGCAGAGCGGAUCUUUCGUCGUUGCGGUGCACCGCAAUUUUCGACCUCUAAUUUUAUGGUUUUUCGUGGCGGACCCAACGGAGAGGAGGUCUGCCCUCUCAACCAGAAAUCCCGCACGGUGAAAUACCUUUCGCAUACGUUUACGUACGUGCAAUUAUCCUGUCGGUUACGCCGGUACACACCGAUUAUUUUCUUGGCGCGUCGCGUGACGAGCAUCGUCCUUUUUUCUUACCCUUUCAACCAUUCAACGAUGGACGAGAAUCUUCUCGAUGGAGCUACCGUACCAAAGUAUUGUGUUUCAAUGCUUAUUUUCUUCUUUUCUUUCUUUUUUGGUUGGAUGGUUGUUUUUCUGACAAGUUAACACUCGCGCGUGUUUAGCUUCGCAGACACUGUGAAAUUGAACACACGCAAGCGCGAAUUUGUAGAAAACAUCGACGGUAUUCGUUUGAUCGCGAUUUGUCCGUGUUUGUCUAAUGAAAAUUUUAGGUCGAUCGAUCCCUCGGGGAAAGGGAAAUUGAAAGAUCAGCGUCAUUGCCGGCCCCAUGAACAAUUUUCAUCGAUUCGUCCACGGCUUGUCCGACGAAAAUGUUCGUUGGACGAUUUUUCAAAGAUAGCUAUCACCAAAUUUAAUAAAAUAGCCAGAAACUUUUUCAUUGAUUUCUGAUAUAGCAUAUGGCUGUCCACGCUUGCCCGUCCAAUCUUGUUCGGCUUCAAAAUCAAUACAAAUGUUCACCAGGCGCAGAAUUUUUUGGAAUUUUCAUUCGCUGAUGACUUUUUCUUUUGAAAACUCGACGAACGAAAAUUGCUGUCGGACAAAUGUGCAUAAAUCGUGGACAAUCAUAUCUCGUUUACGAAUCAAUGAAAAGUGUUCAUGCUGGUGCUGAUGAUAAAUAUUGUCAUUUGACGAUAACGUUUUUUUUUUUUUAUAGGCGGAGAAAUGAAAAUUUUGUUUGGACAAAUGUGGACGAUUCGCGGACAAACGAGUACUGAUUGUAUUUCUUUUUUGCGUGUAAAUUCGCACUUGGAAACGCCGGUUUCACGAACCGACUGGCACAGCUACUAUUAGGUCUUUGCUUUCAUUCGAUACUGCAAUAGUUGCUACUUAUUCGAUCAUAUAUUUCGUAUUCUUACUCUCUGAAUUUUGGCAGUGAUUCAAAUGAUAAUUGUCAAUUGAGUUAGAUGAAACAAGAUUUCUAAUGAAAAUUAUCCUCGGUGACGUUUUAAUUACGUUACGAUAUUAAAACACGCAGAAGGAACUUUGUAGCGUUGAUAAGUUAUUUUGUUCACCAUAUAUACAAUUUCGUAAUUUUAUGUAUCAUAAAUUUUCAUACAAUCAA